AUGGGCUGGCACCAGCUCUGGUUCUGGGGUGGUUUUGGUGAUCUUUUGAUGUUGUUUUGUUGUUGUUUUGGUGUUGUUUUGGUGUGGUUUUGGUGUUGUUUUGUUGUUGUGUUGGUGUGGUUUUGGUGUAGUUUUGGUGUGUUCUGGUGUUGUUUUGGUGUUGUUUUGGUGUUGCUUUGGUGUGGUUUUGGUGUUAUUUUGGUGGUGUUCUGGUGCUGUUUUGGUGUUAUUUUGGUGCUGUUUUGGUGUUGUUUUGGCAUGUUUUUGGCAUGGUUCCGGUGUGGUUUUGCCGUGUCGGUGCCGUGUCGGUGCCAUGCUGCUGUGCCCGGUGCGUGUCCCGGGGCCGGUGCCGUGUCCAGCCCUGUCCGGCCGUGUCCGGCCCGGUCCCGGCCGUUCCCUCGGGCGGCUCCGGCGGCGGCUGCAAAGCAAAGGGGGGGGAGGGGCCGGGGGGGUUUUGGGGGUCCCGCGACGGCGCCUGGGGAGAGACGGGGUCACCCCAACCCCCCCGGGCCCCCCAGGUCAGACAGAGCCCCCCAACAGCCCCAAGGGGGGGGCGGGCCCCCCAGAGGGACGGACACGAGGGGGUCCAAAAUUGGGGACGGGGGGGUCACGCCCCGGCUGGGGGGGACAAACACCACACGGGGGGACCCCGAGGGGGGCACAGCCCCCCCAGACACCUGGGGGCUCCCCGAGGCCCCGGGCCCCGCCCCCCCCCAAUCCCAUCCCCCUCCCCCCCCAGGUGUCCGGGUGCCCCCAGGGUUGGGGGGUUGGGGGUCCCUGGGGUGCUCUGGGGUCCCUGUAGGUGCCGCGGGGUGGGACAUGGGGGGCGCUGUGGGGUCUCCAUGGGGUUCCGCUGUGGGGCGGGACUCCCCGGGUGCACCUCUGGGUGCUAUGGGGUGCUGUGGGGCUGGGGGGGACGCUGUGGGGCAGAGCUGGGGGGCAGAGCUGGGGGGCAGAGCUGGGGGGCAGAGCUGGGGGACGCAGUCCUUCAGCACCUUGGGGGUGCUGAGCUGGGGGUGCUGUGGGUCUGGGGGCGCUGUGGGGCAGCGCCAUGGGGCAGGACAGCAGCCAUGGGGCAGAGCUGGGGGGCAGCACUCGCUGUAG
rnacentral:lncRNA from 1 species